rnacentral:rRNA from 1 species
GACGUAGGGCGCGAGCGUUGUCCGGAUUUAUUGGGCGUAAAGAGCGUGUAGGCGGCCAGACAGGUCCGUUGUGAAAACUCGAGGCUCAACCUCGAGACGCCGAUGGAAACCGUUUGGCUAGAGUCCGGAAGAGGAGAGUGGAAUUCCUGGUGUAGCGGUGAAAUGCGCAGAUAUCAGGAAGAACACCCGUGGCUAAGGCGGCUCUCUAGUACGGUACUGACGCUGAGACGCGAAAGCGUGGGGAGCGAACAGG